rnacentral:rRNA from 1 species
AGUGAACGCUGGCGGUAGGCCUAACACAUGCAAGUCGAACGGCAGCACAGUAAGAGCUUGCUCUUACGGGUGGCGAGUGGCGGACGGGUGAGGAAUACAUCGGAAUCUACUUUUUCGUGGGGGAUAACGUAGGGAAACUUACGCUAAUACCGCAUACGGCCUACGGGUGAAAGCAGGGGAUCUUCGGACCUUGCGCGAUUGAAUGAGCCGAUGUCGGAUUAGCUAGUUGGCGGGGUAAAGGCCCACCAAGGCGACGAUCCGUAGCUGGUCUGAGAGGAUGAUCAGCCACACUGGAGCUGAGACACGGUCCAGACUCCUACGGGAGGCAGCAGUGGGGAAUAUUGGACAAUGGGCGCAAGCCUGAUCCAGCCAUACCGCGUGGGUGAAGAAGGCCUUCGGGUUGUAAAGCCCUUUUGUUGGGAAAGAAAAGCAGCAGGUUAAUACCCCGCUGUUCUGACGGUACCCAAAGAAUAAGCACCGGCUAACUUCGUG